rnacentral:misc_RNA from 1 species
GAUGAAGAACGUAGCGAAAUGCGAUACUUGGUGUGAAUUGCAGAAUCCCGUGAACCAUCGAGUCUUUGAACGCAAGUUGCGCCCGAAGCCAUCAGGUUGAGGGCACGUCUGCCUGGGCGUCACAUAUCGUUGCUCGAUGCCUAUCGCAUUGCGAUAGGACUUAGGGCGAAUGAUGGCUUCCCGUGAGCGUUGUUGCCUCGCGGUUGGUUGAAAAUCGAGUCCUUGGUAGGGUGUGCCAUGAUAGAUGGUGGUCGAGUUAGCACGAGACCGAACAUGUGCAUGCUCCCCAAAAUAUGGCCUCUGUGACCCACACGCGUCUUUUGACGCUCAUGACGAGACCUCAGGUCAGGCGGGGCUACCCGCUGAAUUUAAGCAUAUCAAUAAGCGGAGGA